AGUCUCCAUGGCUACAAGGAUCAUCAACAUGUGAUGGGCAGAACCACAGAAUCCAAGGGAAGCUACACCAGUGAACCAUCAGCUCUUCUCCACUCCCAUGGUCCCGUCACAGAACACAGUCGGGAAGAAUUGGGAGUCUAGGGUGACUUCCAAAAUCCCCAGGCAGGAGGAAGUCCCUGGAACGAUCUAUUUGGUGUGGUCCCCUCUUUUGCUGAUGCAGAUGAAAUACAGAG